rnacentral:rRNA from 3 species
UGCAGAAUCCCGUGAACCAUCGAGUUUUUGAACGCAAGUUGCGCCCGAAGCCAUUAGGUUGAGGGCACGUCUGCCUGGGCGUCUCAC